UUGAUUCAGUUGUUACUGGCUCUCGAUUACGUUCACUCGAAUCGUGUUCUUCACAGAGAUCUUAAAUGCUCUAACAUUUUCCUUACCAAAGACGACGAAAUCAGACUUGGUGACUUUGGAUUAGCCAAACUGUUGAAUAAAGAUGAUCUCGCCUCUUCGAUUGUGGGUACUCCAACAUAUAUGUGUCCUGAGCUUCUAGCAGAUAUACCUUAUGGAUAUUAAUCAGACAUAUGGUCUCUAGGUUGUUGUAUGUUUGAAAUUUCUGCCCAUCAAGCUGCAUUUCGUGCUACGG